AUUGAACGCUGGCGGCAGGCUUAACACAUGCAAGUCGAGCGGGGUGAUGGUGCUUGCACUAUCACUUAGCGGCGGAAGGGUGAGUAAUGCUUAGGAAUCUGCCUAUUAGUGGGGGACAACAUCUCGAAAGGGAUGCUAAUACCGCAUACGUCCUACGGUCGAAAGCAGGGGAUCACUUGUGACCUUGCGCUAAUAGAUGAGCCUAAGUCGGAUUAGCUAGUUGGUGGGGUAAAGGCCUACCAAGGCGACGAUCGGUAGCGGGUCGGAGAGGAUGGUCCGUCACACUGGGACUGGGACACGGCCCAGACUCCUACGGGAGGCAGCAGUGGGGAAUAAUGGACAAUGGGGGGAACCCUGAUCCAGCCAUGCCGCGUGUGUGAAGAAGGCCUUAUGGUUGUAAAGCACUUUAAGCGAGGAGGAGGCUCUUUUGGUUAAUACCCAAGAUGAGUGGACGUUACUCGCAGAAUAAGCACCGGCUAACUCUGUGCCAGCCGCCGCGGUAA
rnacentral:rRNA from 1 species